rnacentral:rRNA from 1 species
UACAGAGGUCUCAAGCGUUGUUCGGAUUCAUUGGGCGUAAAGGGUGCGUAGGCGGCGCGGUAAGUCCGCUGUAAAAGUCCAGGGCUCAACCCUGGAAAGCCGGUGGAUACUGUCGGGCUAGAGUCCGGAAGAGGCGAGUGGAAUUCCUGGUGUAGCGGUGGAAUGCGCAGAUAUCAGGAGGAACACCGAUGGCGAAGGCAGCUCGCUGGGACGGUACUGACGCUGAGGCGCGAAAGCGUGGGGAGCGAACAGG